UGGAUCCAGACUUUGAUCCUGGCUCAGGAUGAACGCUAGCGGCAGGCUUAACACAUGCAAGUCGAGGGGCAGCGCGGGAUAGCAAUAUUCUGGCGGCGACCGGCGGAAGGGUGCGUAACGCGUGAGCGACAUGCCCGUUGCCCGGGGACAACCGGUGGAAACGCCGACUAAUCCCCGAUGGGAUACGAUGCUUCAUGGCAUUGUAUUGAAAGUUACGGCGGCGACGGAUUGGCUCGCGUCCGAUUAGCUGGUUGGCGGGGUGACGGCCCACCAAGGCUACGAUCGGUAGGGGUUCUGAGAGGAAGGCCCCCCACAAUGGGACUGAGACACGGCCCAUACUCCUACGGGAGGCAGCAGUGAGGAAUAUUGGUCAAUGGGCGGAAGCCUGAACCAGCCAUGCCGCGUGCGGGAAGGAGGCCCUAUGGGCUGUGAACCGCUUUUGCCUGGGGGCAAUAAGGGCGUCGCGCACGUCCGAUGAGAGUACCAGGCGAAUAAGCAUCGGCUAACUCCGUGCCAGCAGCCGCGGUAAUACGGGGGAUGCGAGCGUUAUCCGGAUUCAUUGGGUUUAAAGGGUGCGUAGGCUGUGCGUCAAGUCGGGGGUGAAAUUCCGGUGCUCAACACCGGGGCUGCCCUUGAUACUGUCGCGCUGGAGUGCGGAUGCCGCCGGAGGAAUGAGUGGUGUAGCGGUGAAAUGCUUAGAUAUCACUCAGAACACCGAUUGCGAAGGCAUCUGGCGAAUCCGUAACUGACGCUGAGGCACGAAAGCGUGGGGAUAGAACAGGAUUAGAUACCCUGGUAUUCCACGCCGUAAACGAUGAUGGCUAACCGCCGGCGACACACUGUCGGUGGCCAAGCGAAAGCGAUAAGCCAUCCACCUGGGGAGUACGUCGGCAACGAUGCAACUCAAAUGAAUUGACGGA
rnacentral:rRNA from 1 species